rnacentral:rRNA from 1 species
GAUGAACGCUAGCGGCAGGCUUAAUACAUGCAAGUCGAGGGGCAGCAUGGGUAGCAAUACCUGGUGGCGACCGGCAAACGGGUGCGGAACACGUACGCAACCUUCCCAAAACUGGUGAAUAGCCCUCCGAAAGGAGGAUUAAUACACCGUACCAUAAUGAAGAGGCGUCUCUUUAUUAUUAUAGGCUUCGGUCGGUUUUGGAUGGGCGUGCGCCUGAUUAGGUAGUUGGCGGGGUAACGGCCCACCAAGCCUGCGAUCAGUAACUGGUGUGAGAGCACGACCAGUCACACGGGCACUGAGACACGGGCCCCGACUCCUACGGGAGGCAGCAGUAAGGAAUAUUGGUCAAUGGACGAAAGUCUGAACCAGCCAUGCCGCGUGAAGGAUGAAGGUCCUCUGGAUUG